UAAAAGAUUAGCAUGGCCCCUGCGAAAGGAUGACACGCAAAUCCGUGAAGCGCUCCAUAUUUUU
rnacentral:snRNA from 1 species